rnacentral:rRNA from 1 species
GGCCUACCAUGGUGGUAACGGGUAACGGGGUGUUAGGGCACGACACCGGAGAGGGAGCCUGAGAAACGGCUACCACAUCCAAGGAUGGCAGCAGGCGCGCAAAUUACCCAAUCCCGACACGGGGAGGUAGUGACAAUAAAUAACAAUACGGGGUUCUUUCGGAUCUCGUAAUUGGAAUGAGUACAAUUUAAAUCUCUUAACGAGGAACAAUUGGAGGGCAAGUCUGGUGCCAGCAGCCGCGGUAAUUCCAGCUCCAAUAGCGUAUAUUAAAGUUGUUGCAGUUAAAAAGCUCGUAGUUGAAUUUCGGGGUUAGCAGGUCGGUCGUGCCAUCGGUAUGAACUGGCCUCGCUGAUCCCUCCCUCUUGACGAACUGUGAUGCCAUUAAUUUGGUGUCGCAGGGAAUCAGGACUGUUACUUUGAAAAAAUUAGAGUGUUUAAAGCAGGCUCACGCUUGAAUACAUUAGCAUGGAAUAAUGAAAUAGGACGUUUGAUCCUAUUUUGUUGGUUUCUAGGAUUGACGUAAUGAUUAAUAGGGAUAGUUGGGGGCAUUAGUAUUCAAUUGUCAGAGGUGAAAUUCUUGGAUUUAUUGAAGACUAACUACUGCGAAAGCAUUUGCCAAGGAUGUUUUCAUUAAUCAAGAACGAAAGUUAGGGGAUCGAAGACGAUCAGAUACCGUCGUAGUCUUAACCAUAAACUAUGCCGACUAGGGAUCGGAUGAUGUUAAUUUUUUAAUGACUCAUUCGGCGCCUUACG